rnacentral:rRNA from 1 species
UACGUAGGGGGCAAGCGUUAUCCGGAUUUACUGGGUGUAAAGGGGGCGCAGACGGCGAUGCAAGCCAGGAGUGAAAGCCCGGGGCCCAACCCCGGGACUGCUCUUGGAACUGCGUGGCUGGAGUGCAGGAGAGGUAAGUGGAAUUCCUAGUGUAGCGGUGAAAUGCGUAGAGAUUAGGAAGAACACCAGUGGCGAAGGCGACUUACUGGACUGUAACUGACGCUGAGGCAUGAGAGCAUGGGGAGCAAACAGG